GGCCAGGAGCCCUUCCUACCCUGACCCUUGUCAACCACACCAUUUGAUCCGCGUGAGAAAGCAGUGACCCACCCCAGGCCAUGCCAACUGCUGAUGGGGCCUCUGGGUAGGGGUCCCCUAGGGACAGGAGGCCCUUUUGUGGUACUGCCAUAAAGGUGUCCUCUGUCCUCCUGGAGCCCCUCCAUCAGGCCUUGCCCCGGCCUGGUUGACCUGGGGACUUCUGAACUGGGGUUGCAGAAGGCCAUUGGCAUCUUAGGUGGCACAAAGUCAGAACCAGGGCAGGAAGGCCUUUAUUUAGGUUCAUUUAGAGGCUAAAAAUAGAACACAGAUCUUCCACAGCAAUAAGGCAGGAGAGGAGUCGGACUCCUUCUUCCACUCUUCCUGUAGUCAUGCUCGAAUUUCAGACUGGGCCUUCCUUACUCCAGAGAGAGAGCAAGGGAAAAAACAUUCUGUGUGCUUUGAACAGACCUGCCGGUGCCUGCAAGGGGGCCUUGCUGCUCUUUCAGCCGCACAGGGGACAGCAACUCCGCGACCCUGAAGAGCCCUGGCCUCUGAGCCUUGUGCUCUCACACAGGAAACCAAGUCCAUGUGGCUGCGCAGGAUUUGGACCAGGACUGGCCGGCUGAUGCUCGAUUAAUACAUGUCAAAUAAAGGAAUAACUGAGUGGAAAGGAAAGCAGUUGAUUCUUUCAAUUGGACUCUUUUGUUCUGGUGAAAGUUUGAUGCCAUCGAAUGAGUGAGGACACUGCUGGUGACAGGAGCCCAGCUGAGAUGGGCAGAGGAAGGCAGAGCUCGCUCCCAGCCCCUCACACACCGCUCUGCUGGUCACACGACGGAAAGUCCACACGCAGGCGGAACAGGUGCUCGAGUAACUCAGGGAUCUCACUUGGGGCCCUGCUUCCCCCUCUGGGGGGCUUGGCAACACUGUCCCCAGCGCAGCAAGGCUCUAGGACAUGAUCCGGACGCUGCCCUCCUCAGCGGUGGCUGAGUGGAUUACUGGAGGUGGGCCCAGUUGGAGGAAGCUGGUCACUGGGGCUGAUCCAGUCCCAGCCCCCUCCCCCCCUCUGCUCCUGGGCAGCUUUCCUCGCCGCCGUGCCCCUCCACCACGAUGUCUCUGCAAUGGAGCCAGCUGACCAUGGACCGAGACCUCUGAAACCGCGAUCCAAACUCACAUUUCCUCCUCUAAGAUGUUUUGGAUAAGUAUUUUGGUCUCAGAGACAGAAAGCUGACUCACACAGUGGGCCAUAUCCUUAGGCAGGCUCCUCCCAGCCUGCAGACCCCAGGGAAGGGUCCAUUGGCUCCAGGGACUAGAGAGGCCUCUGGCAGGCAGCAGCACCUGCGUCUGAGAGAGGAGAGGCCCGAUGCAGUGUCGGCUCCUGCAAAGCGCUGUUACCAAAGGACACCACCCGGGGGCAGGAGGAAAGCGACUGUCCCCAACUGAGCAGCACCCACAACACUCAUCCAUUGUUGGCUUCAAAAUUAAAUUUUGCUUAGUUCUAGUGAACUUUGUGCUCUGUGAACCAGGUAAAAAUAACAUGAACAGAAGGUCUCACGAAAGUGUGAUCAGUUGGCUCAUGAAGACGUCGCAGGCACCGGGGAAAAUCAAAUGCUGCGCAAAUAAAAUGGGACUAGGUUUCACAAGUCACCAAGGAAAUCAGCCUUGUUGUUCUGUGCCAUAAAGUGUCACGUGUCCAGAGUGCACCUGAGCCCCAGGAGGUCCAAGACGUCACCACUACUACCCGUCACUGUGUCCAGGCCACUGACAUAGCAGGUACUCAGUAAAUAGUUGCCAGAUAAUGAAUGAUCGAACCAAGUUCACAGUGGGAAGGGGAUUGUCUUCAACAUCAUUGCCUCCCACCCCUCCCUUGUCUCAUCCAGUUGUGUAAAAUGUCAAAAUUAGCAACUGACUCCCUUGGUGUCCUCCUUCCCAGUCAAAAGGCAAAAAUUCCAGAAAGACAUCAUGUUUUGCGCCUCCUGUGUCAUUCACCCCAUGGUGCGAGUUGGUUUUUGAGAUCCUUCCCAAAAAGGGUUAAAAGGGAAGAGCACAGGGCACAGAAGUCUUGGUGAAGACACCACUUCUCUGACUCCCUAGCUUCCCCCCCCUCCCGCAUGACCCUGGCUCCAGGGUGGCCCUGGUCUCCUGACCUCGGAGGAGGCUGAAGAAAGGCCAUUAUUCCAGCUCUGCCCUGAGUCCCAGGAGAGCUGUGGAGCUCCAGGGAGGCCCACUGUGGUGCACUGGGGCAGGAAGCUGUGGCUCUCUGAGACCCUCAGGGGAGAGGCCGUGAUGAAGGAACGCCAGGCCUGCAGCCAGAGGGAGCCUGCGGAGCCAAACCACGCUCCUCUGAGCACGAGAAGUCUCCUCAGGCCCUCCUGCUGCGGGACAGCGGGACAGCAGGACAGCGGGACAGCGGGUGUGUCCAAAGGAGCUGGAGGGCCCUGGCUCCUGUCCAGACGAUGCUGGCAAAAGCGGCGGCACCCUGUAUCCCAGCGGGUGCCCUGGUAAGUAACGAACGAGGCCCUGCACUGUGUGGUUUGACCCAGAAAUGUAGGAAAAUUACUUGAAAGUGGUGGACCGUUCAGGUCCUUGGCCCAUUUAUGAUCUUGGGUUAUUUGUUUUUUUGGUGUUUAGCUUUUUGAGUUCUUUAUGUACCCUGGAGAUUAGUGCUCUAGCUGAUGUGAGGGGUAAAGAUUUGCUCCCGGAUGCAGGCUCUGUUCACCUCACAGAGUGCUUCUUUUGCUGAGAAGAAGCUUUUUAGUUUGAGUCCAUCCCAUUUACUGAUUCUUGAUUUUAAUUCUUGUGCUGUACGAGUCUCCUGAACAGAGACUUCUCAGAAGAGGAUAGACAACCAAUCGGCAAACAUGAAAAAAUGCUCAUCACCUCUAGCGAUUAGAGAAAUGCAAAUCAAAACUAAGAUUUCAUCUCACUCCAGUCAGAACGGCAAUGCUCAAGAAUAUAGGCAACAGUGAGUGUUGGCAAGAAUGUGGGGAGACAGGCUCACUCAUUCACUGCUGGUGGGACUGCAAAUUGGUGCAGCCUAUAUGGAAAGCAGUAGAGUGUGGGAGACCAACCUUGCACGUGACUGAGUCACACUCCAGGCUGGGUGCUGAGGUGCUCAGUCACAGAAAAGUGGCAGAGCUUUCCCCACCCUUCUUGGGGUUCAAGGGUCAGUGUCUGGUGCACGGGUGUGUCUUCCUACAGCCCCGUGGGUGGAGCUACGCUCACCUGUUCCUUUGUAAUCUAACCCCUUGCCCUGUUUAGGAUAGAAUCUUCCAUGGAAGUGCCUUGUGUGUGUCCCCUUCUCUUACUGUGCCCUUGGGUGUGGCCUACCCAGGUGUCAGUCAACCUGCUGACAGUGGACAUCAUGAAGAUAGACUCAGCCCCCUGAACCUGACCCUUUGCCUCAUUUGAGUAGCUUCUCCUCAAUAAAAGGGGUCAGCGCGUGCUCUCGCUCUCUCUCUUCCUGUGGACCCUUAAGGUCAGAGGAGCCGUCACAGUGAC
rnacentral:lncRNA from 1 species